CCAACCGUGCCCAGUUAUGUAGAGCAUCGGUCUACGGAACCGAAGGUUGAAGGUUCGAGCCCUUCCGGGUGUA
rnacentral:tRNA from 1 species